rnacentral:rRNA from 1 species
AAACCAACAGGGAUUACCUCAGUAACGGCGAGUGAAGCGGUAACAGCUCAAAUUUGAAAUCUGGGUCUUUCAGGCUCCGAGUUGUAAUUUGUAGAAGAUGCUUCGGGUGCGGCUCCGGUCUAAGUUCCUUGGAACAGGACGUCAUAGAGGGUGAGAAUCCCGUAUGUGAUCGGUUGCUUGCGCCCAUGUGAAGCUCUUUCGACGAGUCGAGUUGUUUGGGAAUGCAGCUCAAAAUGGGUGGUAAAUUUCAUCUAAAGCUAAAUAUUGGCCAGAGACCGAUAGCGCACAAGUAGAGUGAUCGAAAGAUGAAAAGCACUUUGGAAAGAGAGUUAAACAGUACGUGAAAUUGUUGAAAGGGAAGCGCUUGCAACCAGACUUGCGCGUUGCCGAUCAUCCGGGGUUCUCCCCGGUGCACUCGGCCUCGCUCAGGCCAGCAUUGGUUUUGGUGGUGGGAUAAAGGCCUUGGGAAUGUAGCUCCUUUCGGGGAGUGUUAUAGCCCUCGGUGCAAUGCCGCCUACCGGGACCGAGGACCGCGCUUCGGCUAGGAUGCUGGCGUAAUGGUUGUAAGCGAC